CUGCUGCCUUCCGUAGGAGUCUGGGCCGUGUCUCAGUCCCAAUGUGGCCGUUCACCCUCUCAGGCCGGCUACUGAUCGUCGCCUUGGUGGGCUUUUACCUCACCAACUAGCUAAUCAGACGCGGAACCAUCGUAUACCACCGGAGUUUUUCACACUGCUUCAUGCGAAGCUGUGCGCUUAUGCGGUAUUAGCACCUAUUUCUAAGUGUUAUCCCCCAGUAUACGGCAGGUUUUCCACGCGUUACUCACCCGUCCG
rnacentral:rRNA from 1 species